UACGUAGGGUGCGAGCGUUAAUCGGAAUUACUGGGCGUAAAGCGUGCGCAGGCGGUGAUGUAAGACCGAUGUGAAAUCCCCGGGCUUAACCUGGGAACUGCAUUGGUGACUGCAUCGCUCGAGUAUGGCAGAGGGGGGUAGAAUUCCACGUGUAGCAGUGAAAUGCGUAGAGAUGUGGAGGAAUACCGAUGGCGAAGGCAGCCCCCUGGGUCAAUACUGACGCUCAUGGCACGAAAGCGUGGGGAGCAAACAGG
rnacentral:rRNA from 1 species